AUUGAACGCUGGCGGCAGGCCUAACACAUGCAAGUCGAACGAGUGGCGGACGGGUGAGUAAUACAUCGGAAUCUACUCUGUCGUGGGGGAUAACGUCGGGAAACGUUCGCUAAUACCGCAUACUAUUGAAUGAGCCGAUGUCGUAUUAGCUAGUUGGAGGGGUAAAGGCCCACCAAGGCGACGAUCCGUAGCUGGUCUGAGAGGAUGAUCAGCCACACUGGGACUGAGACACGGUCCAGACGCCUACGGGAGGCAGCAGUGGGGAAUAUUGGACAAUGGGCGCAAGCCUGAUCCAGCCAUGCCGCGUGGGUGAAGAAGGCCUUCGGGUUGUAAAGCACUUUUGGCGGGGAAGCGGUACCCGAAGAAUAAGCACCGGCUAACUGCGUGCCAGCAGCCGCGGUAAUUC
rnacentral:rRNA from 1 species